rnacentral:rRNA from 1 species
AUUGAACGCUGGCGGAAUGCUUUACACAUGCAAGUCGAACGGUAGAGGGGGCAACCCCUCGAGAGUGGCGAACGGGUGAGUAAUAUAUCGGAACGUGCCCAGUCGUGGGGGAUAACGUAGCGAACGUUACACUAAUACCGCAUACGACCUAAGGAUGAAAGCGGGGGAUCGCAAGACCUCGCGUGAUUGGAGCGACCGAUAUCAGAUUAGGUAGUUGGUGGGGUAAAGGCCCACCAAGCCAACGAUCUGUAGCUGGUCUGAGAGGCCGACCAGCCACACUGGAACUGAGACACGGUCCAGACUCCUACGGGAGGCAGCAGUGGGGAAUUUUGGACAAUGGGCGAAAGCCUGAUACAGCCAUUCCGCGUGCAGGAUGAAGGCCCUCGGGUUGUAAACUGCUUUUGUACAGAACGAAAAGGUUUCUACUAAUACUAGGAGCUCAUGACGGUACUGUAAGAAUAAGCACCGGCUAACUACGUGCCAGCCGCCGCGGUAA